rnacentral:rRNA from 1 species
AAAAUUUGGUUUUAGUUUACCAGUAGUUUGAAAUAGAAAUUAAUAUGCAAGCUGGGUGCAACUAUCGCAAUUGAAAAAAUUUGUUAGGUGUGUACAAUAAAUUUUAUAACUUUAGUUAACUAGGGUGCCAGCAGCUGCGGUUAUACCCUUAAAGUAAAUUAAUUAAACAUAUUAUAAAAAUACAAAUAGUAAGUUUAUUAGUUAGUUGUGAAAACACAUAACUUAUUUUUUGUUUAGGUUUUUGAAAGAGGAGUAAAAACCAGGGUUAGUAGCCUGUUAUAACCUAAGUAAAUUUUUUUAGGUAUUAAAAGAUUAGUCUCUAAACCUAAAAAACAUGGCAGUAUUUUACCCCUUGCAGAGGAACUUGAAUAUUGAUUAGAUAGCCCUCUUUAUUUCUUACUUAAUUUUAUUUUAUGUGUGGUUGUUAAAAUAAGUAUGAAAUUAUAAGUUUUAAGUCAGAUGAUAUGUAUAUAUAAUUAAGGUAAUUUUAGUUACAAUUAAAUAGUUUAUUAGGUGAUAUACAGGAUUUGCGAGUACUACAUAAAUAAGGUAAGAAGAGGUUUUAAAAUGUGUUCAUAUUGUCCGUCGCUCUCAGAAAUGAGAUAAGUCGUAGCAAAGUAAAGAUUUUUGAAAAAGUCUUUAGCUUAUUUUUCUAA